AUUCAAGGUGGACGAAUGCAUACUCUUUUAUAACGUAUUGGAACGAGGGUACCCAACAUCAACUCGCGCGCCAGGUGUCUAAUGGGACAUCAUCGUUCCAUGGCUCUUGUUCGGUCAGAUCUCCCUCCAGAAGACUCAAAACACUUUGUAAAGGCUGGUGACAUCUAGUGGAAGCAAUAGGAAGUGCCAAAAUAUUCCUCAGCCCCUGUGUUUUUCAAUGGGAUAGGUUUAAAGGUAAUACAACACAUCAGGUAUCCACUUCCUGUCAGAAAAUGUCUCGGGGUUUUGCCUGCCAAAUGAGUUCUGUUAUACUCACAGACACCAUUCAAACAGUUUUGGAAACUUUAGAGUGUUUUCUAU
rnacentral:lncRNA from 1 species